AACGAACGCUGGCGGCAUGCCUAACACAUGCAAGUCGAACGAGACCUUCGGGUCUAGUGGCGCACGGGUGCGUAACGCGUGGGAACCUUCCCUUAGGUUCGGAAUAACUCCCCGAAAGGGGUGCUAAUACCGGAUAAUGUCUUCGGACCAAAGAUUUAUCGCCUUUGGAUGGGCCCGCGUUGGAUUAGCUAGUUGGUAGGGUAAAAGACUACCAAGGCGACGAUCCAUAGCUGGGCUGAGAGGAUGGUCAGCGACACUGGGACUGAGACACGGCCCAGACUCCUACGGGAGGCAGCAGUGGGGAAUAUUGGACAAUGGGCGAAAGCCUGAUCCAGCAAUGCCGCGUGAGUGAUGAAGGCCUUAGGGUUGUAAAGCUCUUUUACCCGGGAUGAUAAUGACAGUACCGGGAGAAUAAGCUCCGGCUAACUCCGUG
rnacentral:rRNA from 1 species